rnacentral:rRNA from 1 species
GACGAACGCUGGCGGCGUGCUUAACACAUACAAGUCGAACGGAAAGGCCCUGCUUUUGCGGGGUGCUCGAGUGGCGAACGGGUGAGUAACACGUGAGUAACCUGCCCUUGACUUUGGGAUAACUUCAGGAAACUGGGGCUAAUACCGGAUAGGAGCUCCUGCAGCAUGGUGGGGGUUGGAAAGUGUCGGCGGUGGGGGAUGGACUCGCGGCUUAUCAGCUGGUUGGUGGGGUAGGGGCUUACCAAGUCUUCGACGGGUAGCCGGCCUGGGAGGGUGGACGGCCACCAUGCGCCUGCGAUACGGCGCAGUCUCGUACGGGAGGCAGCGGUGGAGAGUAUUGCACAGUGGGCGGGCGCCUGAUGCAACAGCGCCGCGUGCGGAAUGCCGGCCUUCGGGUUGUAAACCGCUUUCGCCUGUGACGAGGCGUGAGUGACGGUAAUGGGUAAAGAAGCACCGGCUAACUACGUG